rnacentral:rRNA from 1 species
CUUGCAAAUGAUCUGCCAUUAAUGAUGUAUGGAUUUGGUGAUGAUCCAAAUCCAGAAGUUAAAAGUAUUGAAUUAGUAGAAAAUAUGGUUGUUGAGCACUUAAGAGAUAUCUUAAAAGCAGGAAUAGAGAGAGCUGAAUGGCAAGGGAUGUCAUCAAUGGAAGAUUUAUGUAUUAUGAUGAGUGUAAGACAAGAUCGAAAACGAUAUACAAAAUUAAAGAACCUAAUCGCAUCAAAUGAAGAAAUUAAGACGGUAAAAGAAGAUGGAAAGAAAACAAUUGAAAAACUUAAUCCGGAAAAUGAUAAAGACAAGGACAAAGACAAAUAAA